rnacentral:rRNA from 1 species
ACUCCUACGGGAGGCAGCAGUGGGGAAUAUUGGACAAUGGGGGCAACCCUGAUCCAGCCAUGCCGCGUGUGUGAAGAAGGCCUUUUGGUUGUAAAGCACUUUAAGCAGGGAGGAGAGGCUAAUGGUUAAUACCCAUUAGAUUAGACGUUACCUGCAGAAUAAGCACCGGCUAACUCC